CGAGUUCCUCCUGGAAGAAUCGCGGGGCCACCCCGACUCAACUCGCCGAGUCUGAAGAACAACUCGACGAGUCCCAGUUAAUCUUCAAGCUACUCGCCGAGUCUGUUCAUCGGACUCGGCGAGUCCAUGCCAUGCAACCGCUCAAACUGCUUUCUAAUGGCAGAACUGCUCCGACCAUUCAUAGGCCUGGCCUUCCUAGACUGGUCCAUCACGUAAGGUCCUCAUUUUGGUGCUCAUGAUACACCCCAUGAUUCAUAACAUACAUAUUGACCUAAGGCAUAAGGAUUCCAAUCCAAAACCUUCAUCAAUUCCCGAAAUGUACAGGCAUGGGACAUUCUGGACCUCCAAAGGUCCCAAUACAGAGUCACAAUCGUUUGGGGGACUAGGGUAGCAUUCAAUCUAAUCACAAAAGGGUUCCACAAACCCUAAUUCCAUAAACACAUCAACAUAGCAGAGUAUACUCGAAUUCUUACCUGGAUGAUGUAUUCUCUGUGUCCCCAAUCCUCAGAAUGUGACUCCCUUGCUGCUCCUUUAGCCAAUCCCUUCUCUUCCUUGCACAACCACUCUUCUAUAAUCAACAAUGGCCUAUAAUCCUUGCUCCAGAUGCACACAAUCGAUUUAGGGUUCUUCUCAGAAGGCUAAAAUGAACAAUGACGGCCAAUGAGUCCUUUUUAUACGUCCCAAACCUGAACGGUUAGGGUUUUCGCUAAACAGCGUAGACUCGCCGAGUCCAUAUCUGGACUCGUCGAGUCCAGUCGCGAACCCGCGACCAAGUCUGCGAUCCUACUCGGCGAGUCUAGGCUCCAACUCGCCGAGUCCCCUCUUAAAACACCCCAGAAACAUAAUUAUUACAAUACUUGAAAUUCCGGGCUGUUACAAUUCUCCCCCACUAGGAUUAGACUUCGCCCUCGAAGUCUCACUCUGAAAAUAGUUCCGGAUGCUGCUCCCGCAUCUCACGUUCCGGCUCCCAAGUCAUUUCCGAUCCCUUCCGAUGUUGCCACUGAACCAAUACCAGAGGUACCUCCUUGUUCCUCAGAACCUUGAUCUUUCGAUCCCUGAUGGCCACUGGUCUCUCAGCAUAAUUCAGGCUCGCAUCCACCUGAAUAUCCUCUAAUGGAACCACUGCCGACUCAUCGGCUAAGCACUUCCUCAAUUGCGACACAUGAAAGGUGUCGUGGAUCUGUCCCAACUCCGCUGGCAACUCCAAUCGAUAGGCUACCCGGCCUAUCCUUGCAAUCACCCGAAAUGGCCCAAUGUACCGGGGCCCCAACUUGCCUCUCUUCCUGAAGCGAAUCACUCCUUUCCAAGGAGAGGCCUUCAGGAGUACGAGGUUGCCGACCUGAAACUCAAGCUCGGACCGGCGUCUGUCUGCAUAACUUUCCCUGUCGGCUCUGUCGAAUCUGCUCUGUCGACUGAAGCACGAUCUCUGUACUGCACAUCACUCUCUGUAACCGAAAAUUACCCAAGAUGCAACUCUGCUCUAAAUCUCAACGAUCACUCGACCCAUAAGGGUUAGGAAACCAUGAACCACCGGAUCCCCGAUCCAAAGCCCACUUUGUCCAUUCCGGACCGACUGAGAGAUCCAUUCUCACUCUCAGAGCAACUCUCACAAGUUCUCCUCUUGCCAUCACAUACACAUACUGAACUAGUCCCAACACCCGCAGGUUGAAAGACCCGAUACACUGAUGAUAUCCUCGAACAUCUCCCAAGAUGAACCACUACAUCCACCCUACACUCUGAUCAGAAUCACACUGAGAAUUUAAGAUUCUCUCUCUCCCUGCAUCCCUUCUGAGCCUCAACAGACAUCCCAAACCGGAUGGGUUCCUACUUCGCUGCCGCGAACACGAUGCUCGAAGGCAUACUCGAAAUACUCUAACCAUAACUCUGCUCUGCAGCUUUCAUUCUCGUGAACUUGCACUCCCCUUCGGAGUUACACACCUUUCUCUUUUCCUUCCAAGGGACCCUCUUGGCCAUAAUGCCACUCCAACCGGUGCUACGGUGCUUGCCCCAAGCGACACCACCCUUUUUGCGUAACCGCUAUUCACAUACUCUGGUUCUCAUUGCAGGGGCUCUCAAUCCCAUGCACUCUCUCCACUCAUCAAAAUCACUGCCUCAGCUAAACAAGAUCACUAACCCGGGGCCAGACCUUCCAAUGCAAUCACACUGCAACAUACACAAUCCGCAAUCUCAAACUGAUCCAGCAAUACCAACAGAGUCUCCAGCAUGACUGGACCGACUCUCAUAACACAUACUAGCCACUCGAGGCUAUAUCUCUGUGGGUCCGUACACCCAAACUCUGCGAACCCUCAGGUUCUAACUCUGGGAACCUUCCGGUUCCAGCUCUAGAAACAUGCACAACAUAAUCCCGUGGGAUUAAUGCAGUACAACCCAUCACGUACCUCAAACAUACCAAUACUCUGAUCGCAUAACCCCGGUUACUUACUCAAGCUUGAUCCCGGCCUUCUCUCAGGCCUCCACAAUCAAAUGCCCUAGGUCUGUAUCCCGCCCCGCAUACCCGACACUCGCUCUCGUCGGCCUAUACUCUGCGCUGAAAAACACUGCUGAAUCCCAACAGCUAAGCACCCUCACAUACUCAUCGAUCUCCCGGAGAAUUCUCCAAUUCUCCCCCACUUAAAGCACUGACUAACAGCCACCGAUCGCCAUUAACGACCUUCCAGAACAACCCCGCACAAAGAGAACACUUACACACUGACUGCUUCCCACAAGCAUAAGCAACCCUCAGCAAAACACAUCUCCUCCCUGAUCAAUCCGCUCAAAAGAAUCCGGUCUUUCAAUUAUCCACUCCACGACUGCAGAUGCUACCCGACAUUCAACCCAGUGCCGCAUCUCCACUAUCAACCCUCACGAAUGAUAACCAACGGAAUUCCCAAACAAUAACCCAUAACCAAACCCACAACCUGCAAAAGGAUGAAUACCGCAUCGAAAACCGCACAAGGCUACCGGCACCAAAACACCAAACUAUAACCAUACCAAACCAUCAGGGAACAACGAAUGCCAAAGCGAAAACCUGAAACACCAAUCCAUAACCAUGCCAAACCCGCGAAACAACGAAUACCGCAUCGAAAUCCACACAAGAUACCAGCACAAACAAUACGCCACAAUCAACGCAAGAUAAUCAAGACAUCAAGAAAGCAUCAUACCCGCAGCUGCCUCCGGCACUGCUCCGUCUCCCUCUGCCGCAAGCUGAUAAGCACGACCCUGAGCCCUUGGGGCUCCGCUCCAUCCUGUCCUCCUCCUGAACUCCUCAAGGUGGCCGGUGCUAGAGCCUGCACCGGUCCUGCAGAAAGCUGUGGACAGUUGACCCUCAAAUGUCCAACCUGCCGACAAUGAUAACAAAUCCUCAAAUCCCGAAUCGGCACUGACUGCCGACAAUCCCGCGCAUAGUGCCCCUCCUUUCCGCACUUGCGGCAUGCACCACCGGACCAGCAAACUCCGGUGUAACCCCUCCCACACUUCCCACAAGUGUGGCCGCUCCGAUCCCCCAUUCUAACAUCAACGGUACUGGACCGUUUCGGCGCUGGCUGCGACUGCAUCGGAGCCUGCCUCAGCUCACGCAACUGCAACUCAACCUCUAACUCACGCCGCAUGGCGGCCUCCUGCAACACCAACAAGGUCUCGCACCUCUGCGCAGACACGAACUGUCUGAUAUCCCCCUUGAGCAUACUCAGAUAUCGGGACAUCUGAGCCUGCUCCGAAGCGAACUCAGGGCAAAACAUCGCCCUCUCAAUAAACAUCCUGGUGAUCUCAGUCACCGACUCCAAAUCCUGCUUCAGCUCAAGGAACUCCCGAGCCAAUCUCUCCCUCUCAUCUCGCGGAACAUAGCGAGUACUGAACAUCUCUCUGAACUGAUCCCCUGAAACCGCAGCCCUCUGCGCGUCGAAAUAUGACCCCGUGGUCAAUCUCCACCAAUCCUUCGCCCCGAGCCUCAAUAGGUUCAGAGCACACCUCACCCUCUGAUCAGCAGGGCAUAAACUCGUGGAGAAACACCCCUCCACGUCUGAUAACCAUCUCAUAGCAACAAUCGGGUCCUGAACUCCAUCGAAUGUGGGAGGCUUCGUAUAAUAGAAGUCCCGAUACUGAAAACCCCGACUAGCUCCUCUCUUUGCCGUUGCUACAGCCGCUGUAACUGCCGUGGCAGCCGUCUCUGCGAGAGCCGCAUAUCGCUCAUCAAACUACUCAAUCAUAGUGGUCCUGAUCGACCCAAACCAUUCUGGCAACUCAGCCCGUAACAAUGCAGCAACCUCAUCACGCAGGAUCUCACGAAUCCUCGCAUCCCGCUCGCUCGUGCUCGUCCGAUCGAUAACCUUCGACGGCACCGAUCCACCCGGAACUCGCUCUCCAGCUCCCGAUCCUGAUCCGGAUCCACUAUCAUCAUGCCUCGAAAUCUCCAUACUGAAGACACCCUACCAAUCUCAGACACUUCCCAAAAUCCUGGGAUCCAACUCUCGCAACCCUACCCUAGAGACCAUGGUUUCCCUGAUACGCGUAUGGGUCCUGUGCUUUCAGUAGUACGGGCCCAUACUACCUUCCACACCUACCCAUAUUUGUAUGAAGUACUACCACAAUACCCUAGGGAACAUGCAUAACAACUAUCAACCCUCACCACUAGAGGAACACUGAGAACAUCCCAUAAGGGACCCUAGGCUACAGGCAUCACAUAUCAGGCAACAUUAUCAUGAAUUCCUGAAGAUCCCUAGCCUAACUCUAGCAUGCUGUUCUAUCAAGCUCAAAUAAACAAAUAUCAUGUAUGGUAUCUUGGGGUUACUUACUGGCUCCGGCUGAUCGUACCUCCGCGUCCUCCUUUUACUUAAUUUGAAAACCAUUUUAAUUUCUCAUUUUAAUUUCUCUUUUUAAAAUCCUCCUCGAUUUGAGACUGGAGUCACACGAAUGUUUCCCCAAUUCACUCAAACCAAGGCUCUGAUACCAAUAUGUAACAUCCAAAAUUUCAAAACAAUUAAAACUUUUCAAAAUCACCCAUUUUAUUAACGUUGUUACAAAAAGGUUUUCAAUACAUUAUUAAACAGAGUAAUUUCCCAGGUUCAUAUCAUAAAACACCAACGCGAGGAACGGUACGAUCACGCCUUUGCCUUGCCACAGACUCUUGAGAACCUGAAACAUAAAACCACAACUGUAAGCCCGAAAGCUUAGUGAGAUACCCCCAGAAUACCAACCACAUAUACGCCUUUCCAGGCCCUGACCUUCCGGUCCAUGUGUCUCAGGGGACUUCCGUCCCUGCUGGGUAAACCUUCCGGUCCUACCCACGCCGACCUUCCGGUCCAGCACAUAACAUAUUGCCUUCCGGCCCAUAACAUAUCGCCUUCCGGCCCAUAACAUAUUGCCUUCCGGCCCAUAAGCAUAAAAUGCAUAUAUAACAUAACAAAUAAUCAUAUAGCAGUUCAUAGACAACAAUCGAUCAACAGAUCACAUAUCAUAGCAUUACUCUAACAAGAUACCGGUCUAGCCGGUCACUAUCAUAACAUUACCCUAUGAAUCAGUCAACAUACUAAAUGCAUACAUACGCCUUUCCAGGCCAUGACCUUCCGGUCCACAUAGUAAUGCCUUCCGGCCUGUAACAUAUAAUGACAACUACCCGGAUUUCCAUCCGGUAAAAAGGGUCGGCCUUGGUGCCAUAAACCCUAGCGAUAUAGUGAGGAUAACUCACCUCGAAACUGCCGACUGAACAGAUAGCUCAAGCUGCUCCGAUCACUGAUACGAUCUCCACCUCUGGACAGUCACCAAUGCACUGAACUCAAACAAUAACAACAAUUACCAAAAUACCCCUGGAACCACUGGUAAAUCCUUGGUCAAAGACAAGGUCAAAGUCAACCCCUGACUGACCCUACUCGCCGAGUCAACCCUAUGACUCGCCGAGUCCCCAUACUCAGAACUUCACUUAACCCGCGACCUAACUCGCCGAGUCACCCCAAGACUCGCCGAGUUCAACGACUCUGAGUCCACUCGCCCUUGACUCACCGAUUCCUUAAGAUUCCCUUUCUACACGUCGAGUAUCCCCUUUUUACUCGACGAGUUCCUCCUGGAAGAAUCGCGGGGCCACCCCGACUCAACUCGCCGAGUCUGAAGAACAACUCGACGAGUCCCAGUAAAUCUUCAAGCUACUCGCCGAGUCUGUUCAUCGGACUCGGCGAGUCCAUGCCAUGCAACCGCUCAAACUGCUUCCUAAGGUCAGAACUGCUCCGACCAUUCAUAGGUCUGGCCUUCCUAGACUGAUCCAUCACGUAAGGUCCUCAUUUCAGUGCUCAUGAUACACCCCAUGAUUCAUAACAUACAUAUUGACCUAAGGCAUAAG
rnacentral:lncRNA from 1 species